GUCUAAGGCCGUACCACCGUGAACGCGCAGGAUCUUGUCUGAUCUUGGAAGCUAAGCAGNGUUGGUUCUGCUUAGUUCUUGGAUGUAAGAGUGACUGAGAAUAUGGGGUGCUGUCNACU
rnacentral:rRNA from 1 species